UCGGAUGUCGUGCACGGCGCACACCCGCUCCCGAUAGAAUUUGUUCUCUCUUGCGGACCGCGGGACUCCUGGGUUCGACUCCCAGCGUUCGAG